CAGCUCGUCACCGUUGCCACGGCAACGGCGCGCGCACGUGACCCCUAUCGUCACCUGCACGUGGAACGCCGUUCUUGGCCAUCCUCCACCGCAGCUGCGCAUCUCGGUAACCGUCAUUUGGGCGAGGGUGACAGACGACGGAAAUCUUUGCGUCGUUCGUCCUCAGUGAGCGUCGUCUGCGAAGAAAACAUGGCGGAGCUCUACGCAUUUUUCGAGGAUGUUGGCGUGCGUGAGGACGAAAUAACACGCGUAUUUCGUUCUAACAGUGACGCAUUCACUGUCCUGUCAGACGAUGCGUUCAUCAGGCACUUCGGGCUUUCUAAAGAAGCAGUUCGAGAAGUCUGCGAUGCCGUCAGGGAAGACUUGAAACGACCGCAGCAGUGGCGAUCCACCACGCUUACCGUCGAACAAAGGGUGCUCAUGGCACUGCGUUUCUACGGGACCGGGGCCUUUCUUGGUAAUAUAGCUCAUGAAGAAUAUUUCACCACGACCAAGGGCCCUGUCUCGGAGUCUCUACACGCCGUCAGCCUGGCUGUGAUAAAACAUCUCGCACCCAAGUACCUGCGCUUCCCACAAACACCGGAAAGCUGGCCGUGAAACGUGGGUUCUACGACGUUGCAGGCCUGCCUGGAAGCCUUAGUGCAGUCGACGGCACAGCGGUCGCAAUCAUAGCGCCCAGCACCAAGGAUCCGCGUUUCACUGAUGGCAAUUAUUACAGCCACAAUGGGUACCAUGCACUGAACGUGCUGGGGAUUUGCGAUGCUAAUCGCAGAAUCCUCCACCUAAAUGCACGCUAUCCGGGGAGCUGUCACGACGCUGCUGUCUGGUCAAUGUGCAGGAUACGGCAGAGGGCUUCAGUCCUGUUCGACGAUGGGGAGUGGCUGCUCGGUAAGUUACAUGCUUGUGGGCCAAAUAAACUCACAAUCUAUGUACACAAAUAUGGGACAUUUAUUGCUAAAAGAAAGGAUAGUGGUAGAGACAGUAAAGAAAUAUACGCAAUUUAGAAAGACAUAGCUGGAAGGUUUGAGCAUUACUAUUUGUACACAAUGAUGGAUGUUACAAUGAAUGUUAGCAUUAAUGUAGUGAACGUGUCAGAUAAGACAAGGUACAAAGUCUAGUUAUGGAAUAUGUAGAGUGAAUGGUGUAACACGUUAAAUAGAUACACGAACACUAUACAUGUUUAAUAAUCCUAUACAUGUACUAUAUGUAGCAGGAAAAGUCAGAGGAUGACAAAAGCUUACAGAAAAGCACAAAGGGGAGUUUAGUAACACCGAUGUGGGUGAGGUGUUGGCAGACAGUGCCACAGUCCAGGAGGACUGAUCGAAGGCAGCGAUAAACAUUGACCCCAAUCUCUAUCAGUGUUAAUAAACUCCUCUGUGUUUUUUCGUGUAAGCUCUUUGACCCCUUUUGACUUUUCGUACUUGUAUAGAGUAUAUAUAUAUAUAUAUAUAUAUAUAUACACAUAGUAACGACAUAGCCAUUUUCGUUCUGCAAUCGGGUUUUCCAUCCCAACGCCUUAGAGAACAAAGAGAAUCGUUCCUGAUCUACAAAUUUAAAAGCCAGAUCAACAAGGACCCCGGCGUCCUCUCAACAGUUCGCAACCUAAAUUCCUAAUUCUCUCAGAAUACAUACACUCUUUUGUAUCUCUUUCAGACUCCCCGGUUGGUCACCCCAGGAAAUCAUUGCCCUCCGGCGAAGAACUUGACUGCCUAUGAUUCAUUGUACCCCUUUACCUUUGUUUGACAAAGCACGUGUGCUGCCCUCUCUCCUUGUACAUAUUCCCCUCUCAUUCUUUGCAAUUGUCUUGCGUCACCAUAGUAUCCCAUUCCUGUUGAAGACAGCGCUGCUGUCGAAACGUCGAAUACCCCCUCUUAGUUUUUAAUAAAGUCCCCCUUUUAUUCCUUAUCCUGUAGAAGCACCGUCUCCACUUCUGAUCUUUAUUGAAUACCUAUAUAUACACAUACAUACACACAUAUGUAACAUAUCAUUUUCUUCAAAGGAGAUCUUGGCUACCCACUUGAGCCAUGGUUGAUGACUCCAUUCCGGGCUCCGGCAUCAGACAAAGAAGUGGCAUAUAAUGCAGCUCACAGCAGGACUAGGGUUCGAAUCGAGCAAUGCUUCGGAGUGCUGAAAAUGCGAUUCCGGUGCCUGCAAAGGUACCGCACCCUUCACUUUGCACCAGACAGAGGCUGCAAUAUCAUCACUGCUUGUGCUGUGCUACACAAUAUGUGCAUUUCAUACAAUUUGCCUGAGCCUGCAGAGGAGCCUGAACCGGCAGCUACAGAACAUGACAGUGCCACAGUUACAGUGAUUGAGGACGAACCCAGCGAGGAGGGUGAACCCAUCAGUCGAAAUGACUCCUUCAUAUCACAGGCAAUGCGCGUACGUGAGAGAAUUGUCAACAGGUACUUCUAGCAGCCUGUCAAGAAAUGUAUAUACAU